rnacentral:tRNA from 1 species
AGGUCAGUAGCUCAGUUGGUAGAGUCCCGGUCUCCAAAACCGGUUGUCGCGGGUUCGAGUCCUGCCUGGCCUGCUA